GCGACUUCCGUUCUGAGAAAUCGAUUGUGUCAAUGGGUCAGUAUUUUAAGGAGCUGUUCAUUACUUAAGUGUUUUAGUUGCCUCCCAAUAUUUGCAUAAGAAAGAUGCAAAUUCCAUAGCAAAGAACUGCGAAAUAGUCAACGUUUAUCUCGAUAAAGGAAAGAGCUUUGCAAUGGAUACUCAUUUCAGCAAGUUACCAAACAGUCUGAUUGAAAUAUGUGUGGUAGUGGGCAUGGAUCAGGAUACUGGCCUUGUUCUAGCCAGAUCUGCUGAGAGCAAGAAAGCUUCAAAAAGCAGU